rnacentral:lncRNA from 1 species
AAGGAGCUUCCUCGGUUGGCAACGACAGCAGCCGCCCUCGGGGAGGUGGGGAGCGUGCCGCUGCUCCCUUUGGCCCGCUCCCGGGAGCCGGAACCCGGGCCUGGGCACCUGCCUCAGACCGGAAGCCGGGCGCGCGGCCGGCCUUCGGUGGGCAGGGGUUGCGCGGAGCUCGCCCGUCGACGCGCUAGAAGAACAGAUCAGUGUUCACAGUGACUUCAUACAACUACCUCACAAAAUAAGAAUCAGUUAUUUACCAAAAGGUACAUCUAAAUGUUAUACCUAUGUUUUAAAAAAUUCCUUGCCUAUUUUUAGAUUCCAUUAUCCAUUGUUAUAAACCCUUUGUGAAUACCUUCAAUCCUUUCCUUCUCUCUUCCAUUUUAUCUUUCUAAUCCACAGUCCUGGUUAAUUCACUGUAUGCUUGCUGCGGAGCAGUUGAACUUGGCUGGAGAAAACCCAGCCCUGCUAACCCCGGAUUGAGCUCCUUGUGUUCUCCCCAUACCCUUAGUCUAAUUUCCCUAAUACGUUUACGCCUGUUCUCUUAAACAGCUGUUUAACUUCUUAAUCCCACUCCUCCUGAGUAGAUCCUUAUCAUGCUUCUGAUCUCUCCAGGGAAAUAGAAAAAAAAUCAGAAAUCAAUAACAGCUGUCUGCUACUCACCAUUGCAUCUACCAACCUUUCUAUAUCUGAAUAUGCUGCUAUACUCCAGUAACUGUAGAUAAACUGUCAAAAUUACUAAGAGCAAAAUUGGCCACCUUUGCCUUGAAUUCUGUUUAACUCUUGGAAUUGUCUACUUUACGAUUUUUUCACUCUUAAGUGAUUCAUUCCUGUCAACUUAAAAACAUGUUUUAAUAGCUGCCAUCAUUUAAAAAAAAACUUGGGCCGCCUGAGUGGUUCACACUAUUUCACUUUUAGAAAGGUCUUUCCUCUGAAGACUCUGUUUAUGGCACCCCACCAUUCUCUCUCUGUCAUCCUCUUUUUUUUUUCUAACUAUUUGCCAUAUAAUACAUAUUUUGUUUAUUGGUUGUCCCCCACUAUAAUGAUAUCUCUGUGACAUCAGAAAAAUACGUUGAAUGAAAGGAUAUUUACCUACAAAAUUGCUAAAAGAAAUAGAAGGGGUGCCUGGGUGGCUCAGUUGGUUGAGCAUCUGACUCUUGAUACUGGCUCGGGUCAUGAUCUCAUGGUCAUGAAAUCAAGCCCUACAUUGGUCUCCGUGCUGACAGCAUAGAGCCCACUUGGGAUUCUCCCUUUCUCUCUGCUCCUCCCCUGCUUGGGCUCACUGUUUCUCAAAAUAAAUAAACACUAAAAAAGGAAACUAGCA